UGAACGCUGGCGGCGUGCUUAACACAUGCAAGUCGUACGAGAACUCUUUAGCUUGCUAAAGAUAGUAAAGUGGCGCACGGGUGAGUAACGCGUGGGUAAUCUACCCCUGAAUUCGGGAUAACAUUGCGAAAGCGAUGCUAAUACCGGAUAACAUCUUUUGAAUUUCGGUUUAAAAGAUCAAAGAUGGUCUCUACAUGUAAGCUAUCGUUUGGGGAUGAGCCCGCGUACCAUUAGCUUGUUGGUAGGGUAAUGGCCUACCAAGGCGACGAUGGUUAGCUGGUCUGAGAGGAUGAUCAGCCACACUGGAACUGACACACGGUCCAGACUCCUACGGGAGGCAGCAGUGAGGAAUUUUGCGCAAUGGGGGAAACCCUGACGCAGCAACGCCGCGUGAGUGAUGAAGGCUUUCGGGUCGUAAAACUCUGUCAAGUGGGAAGAAAUUGGUAAAUGUUAAUACCAUUUAUCAUUGACGGUACCACUGAAGGAAGCACCGGCUAACUCC
rnacentral:rRNA from 1 species